CGGACUGAAGGCUCUUUCUCGAUUCCGUGGAAAGUGGUGCAUGGCCGUUUUUUGGUUGGUGGAUCGAUCCGUCUGGUUAAUUCCGUUAACGAACGAGACCUCGGCACUCCGAAUAGCGCGGCGGACGUCGCGGCCUCCGGGCCGUCUUCCGCACGAGCUUCUUAGAGGGACCGUCCCCCGCCGGGGAAGGAGGUGCGAGGCAACGACAGGUCUGUGAUGCCCUUAGAUGUUCUGGGCCGCACGCCAUUACACUGACGCGUCCAACGGGUGACUCCCGACCCGAAGGGGCCGGGGAAUCCGCAAGGCGCGUCGUGAUGGGGAUUGAACGUUGCAAUUGUUGUUCACGAACGAGGAAUUCCUAGUAGGCGCGGGUCAUCAACCCGCGCCGAUUACGUCCCUGCCCUUUGUACACACCG
rnacentral:rRNA from 1 species